UAAAAACAGGCUAUAAAUCCAUUUUGUCAGGUGUAAAACAGUCAAAUUGAAAGUCACUGUUUUCAAGCCUACGUUAUCAGAUACACAAAUGACAACUACCUGUAGCUGGGGAGAACAUCUUCACAUGCCCCAUAAACUCCAUUUUGGCAAAAGAAAAGGCCCAGGGAGGAAACACACUUGCAGUGACCAAACAUGCAAUGAAGAAAAAAAAAAAAAAAAAUUCUGACAAUCUAAAAUCUUUUUGCUAAACUUCAGUGUAGCUGAAAUUGUCAUUAUCUCUCCUAUUCAUAUUUGACCAACAGACUUCUUACUGACCACCAACUGUGCAAAGCAUUAGAGACAGAUUGAUCAAAAGACAACCUUCACUGAAAGGAGCGUCUAGCCACUGAAGUCCACCACUCUGUAGCAUAAGUGCUGUAAGAGAUCAGUUAUUAUACAACUGAACUCCUCAACUGUUUUCUUCUAAGAGUUUUAUAGUUUAAGCACUUACAUUUAGGUCUCUGAUCCAUCUGGAGUUCAUUUUUGUAUGUGGUAUGAGGUUGGGGCCCAACUUCAUUCUUUUGCAUGUAGAUAUCCAGUUAUACCAGCACCAUAUGUAAAGUGGCUGUUCUUUCCCCACUGAAUGGUCUUGGCACCCUUGUUGGAAAUCAGUUGACCAUGGAUGUAUGGGUUUAUUUCUGGACUCUCAACUCUAUUCCAUGGAUUUACAUGUCUACCCUUAUUCCAGUACCACAUUGUUUUGAUUGCUAUACUUUGCAGUAAGUUUUGAAAUCAGGAGUUGUGAGUCUUCCACCUUUGUUCUUUUUUUUUUUUUUUCAAGAUUGUUUUAACUAUUUGGGAUCCUCUGAAAAUUCAUAUAUGUGUUUUGGUAUGUUUGUCCAUUUCUGCAAAAAAGAUCAUUGGAAUUUUAAUAGAUGUUACACUAAAUCUGUAAAACGACUUCAAGAGUAUUGCCAUCUUAACAAUAUUAUGUCUUCUAAUCCAUGAGCACAGGAAGUCUUUUGCUUAGUUAGAUCUUCUUUAAUUUCUUUCAGCAACGUUUUGUAGUUUUCAGCAUACAAGUCUUGCACUACUGCGGUUAAAUUUAUUCAUAAGUAUUCUAUUUUUUGAUGCUAUUGUAAACUGAAUUGUUUUCAUAGUUACCUUUUUGGGUUGUUCACUGCUAGUGUAUAGAAAUGCAACUGAUUUUUGUGUGGUGAGCUUGUAUCUUGCAACUUUGCUAAAAUUUGUCUAUUAGCUUUAACAAUUAUUUCAUGGAUUUUUUAGGAUUUUUUGUGAUUAACAUGUCAUGUGUAAACAGAGAUAGUCUUACUUCUUCCUUUGCCAUCUGGAUGCCUUUUAUUUUUCUUGCCCAAUUCUUCUGGCUAGAAUUUCCAGUACAAUGUUGAACAGAAGUGGCAACAGUAGACAUCAUUUAUCUUGUUCCUGCUACUGGGAGGAAAGUUUUCUCUUUCACCACUGAGUAUGAUGUUGCUGUGGGUUUUUUAUAGAUUCCUUUUAUAAGACUGAAGUUCUCUUAUUUUCCUACAUGUUGAGCAUUUUUCUCAUGAAAGGGUAUAAGAUUUUGUCACUUUUUGUGCGUGUCUACUGAGCUUUUUUCCCCUUCAUUCUACUAAAAUGGUACAUUACAUUGAUCUUCGUAUGCUGAAACACCUUUGCAUUCUUGGAAUAAAUCCUGCUUGGUCAUGGUAUAUAAUUCUUUUAAAAAAAUGCUGCUGGAUUUUGUUGGCUAGUAUUUUUGCUGAAGAAUUUUUAUCUAUAUUCCGAAGAGAUCUUGGCCUCUACUUUUCUUAUGAAAUAUGUGUCUGACUUUGGUAUCAGGGUAAUGCUUACCUCAUAGAAUAUUUAUUCUUUUAAUUUUUGGGAGAGUGUGAGGAUUCACAUUAAUUCUUCUUUAGUUGUUUGAUAGAAUCACCAGUGAAGCCACUGGCCCUCGG
rnacentral:lncRNA from 10 species